UACGUAGGGAGCGAGCGUUAUCCGGAUUUAUUGGGCGUAAAGCGUGCGUAGGCGGUUUAUUAAGUUUAAGAUAAAAGCCCGGGGCUCAACUCCGGUUCGUCUUAAAAACUGGUAGACUUGAGUGUGGUAGAGGUAAAUGGAAUUUCUAGUGUAGCGGUGAAAUGCGUAGAUAUUAGAAGGAACACCAGUGGCGAAGGCGAUUUACUGGGCCAUAACUGACGCUGAGGCACGAAAGCGUGGGGAGCAAAUA
rnacentral:rRNA from 1 species